rnacentral:rRNA from 1 species
UACGGAGGGGGCGAGCGUUAUUCGGAAUUAUUGGGCGUAAAGGGCGCGUAGGCGGCUCUAUAAGUCAAAGGUGAAAUCCCUCGGCUCAACUGAGGAACUGCCUUUGAAACUGUUGGGCUUGAGGCCGGGAGAGGGUAGUGGAAUUCCCAGUGUAGCGGUGAAAUGCGCAGAUAUCAGGAGGAACACCGAUGGCGAAGGCAGGUCUCUGGGCAUUAACUGACGCUGAGGAGCGAAAGCAUGGGGAGCGAACAGG